UUAGUUCAUAUUUGUAUGGAGCGGGAUCGUUUGCGUACGUUUGCCGCUAGGGGCGCUGUUACAACUGCAUACAAAAUUGGGUUA
rnacentral:pre_miRNA from 1 species